rnacentral:tRNA from 2 species
GCCGGCAUAGCUCAGCAGGUAGAGCAACCGCCUUGUAAGCGGUAGGUCGCGGGUUCGAUUCCUGCUGCCGGCACCA